GACGAACGCUGGCGGCGUGCUUAACACAUGCAAGUCGAACGGAAAGGCCCUGCUUUUGUGGGGUGCUCGAGUGGCGAACGGGUGAGUAACACGUGAGUAACCUGCCCUUGACUUUGGGAUAAUUUCAGGAAACUGGGGCUAAUACCGGAUAGGAGCUCCUGCUGCAUGGUGGGGGUUGGAAAGUUUCGGCGGUUGGGGAUGGACUCGCGGCUUAUCAGCUUGUUGGUGGGGUAGUGGCUUACCAAGGCUUUGACGGGUAGCCGGCCUGAGAGGGUGACCGGCCACAUUGGGACUGGGAUACGGCCCAGACUCCUACGGGAGGCAGCAGUGGGGAAUAUUGCAAAAUGGGCGGAAGCCUGAUGCAGCAACGCCGCGUGGGGGAUGACGGCCUUCGGGUUGUAAACCGCUUUCGCCUGUGACGGAGCGUGAGGGACGGUAAUGGGUAAAGAAGCACCGGCUAACUACGUG
rnacentral:rRNA from 1 species